rnacentral:rRNA from 1 species
GUGUCAGCAGCCGCGGUAAGACAGAGGGUGCAAACGUUGCUCGGAAUUACUGGGCGUAAAGCGCGUGUAGGCGGGCUGGAAAGUCGGGCGUGAAAUCCCCAGGCUCAACCUGGGAACUGCACUCGAAACUCCCAGUCUAGAGUGGUGGAGAGGGAAGUGGAAUUCCUGGUGUAGAGGUGAAAUUCGUAGAUAUCAGGAGGAACACCAGUGGCGAAGGCGGCUUCCUGGACACCAACUGACGCUGAGACGCGAAAGCGUGGGGAGCAAACAGGAUUAGAAACCCUAGUAGUCC